AGGGACGCUUCGGCCGAGGAUACCGCAAUGGAUCGGGAAGAGGGGCUGAAGGCCUUGGACAAUAUUGUCACUCAAUUCAACGCCUAUGAAGAUUUCCUGGACUCGCAGAUCACUACUGUGGACUUGUACUACCUGGAGGAUGAAACCCUGGCCCGCCAGUUGGUGGAGCUAGGCUACCGAGGGACUGGAGAGAGAGUGAAAAGGGAAGAUUUUGAAGCAAGGAAAGCGGCUAUAGAGAUUGCAAGACUGGCUGAAAGAGCUCAGCAAAAGACGCUAACAAGUGCUGGUAAAGACCUACAAGAUAAUUUUCUGACGGCCCUGGCAAUGAGAGAAGAAGACAAUCGCAGUGGAAAACUGAGUGCUGGAGUGCAAUGGCACCAUCUCGGCUCACUGCAACCUCUGCCUCCUGGGUUCAAGGAAUUUUCCUGCUUCAGCCUCCCGAGUAGCUGGGAUUACAGGCAUGUGCCACCACACCCGGGGUGUACAAAAAUGGUUAAAACUCUGUCCAAGCUUUCAAGAAACAACAGUGGACAACAUCAAAUUGACACAAAGGAGAUAGAUGGAUGGUGAGUUUACUUCUCACUAAGAAGAUAAGGGAGACUUCACCUAGAAAGUGCGGUUUAAACUGCAACUUAAGCAGUUUUCUGGUAUACAGCUAGAGGGAAAGGUCAUUUCAGAGGGAGGAAACUGGACUAACAAAGGGCGAUAGGAGGAGAGCAGAAAG
rnacentral:sRNA from 1 species